UCAGAGCAAUACUGCAGUUUGAAGA
rnacentral:misc_RNA from 1 species